rnacentral:sRNA from 1 species
AGUUUUUUGCAUUUUAUAUGAUAAUGAGAAAAUUAAGAAAAAUAGUCUAUUUCCUCACAAUAAUUAUCACAUCGUAUAGAAUCCAAAUUUUAUCCAUGAUCCUUAUGUUUAUGAAGUGAUAAUUCUAUUCUAGUUUACAAUCAUCAUGGGUUUGAGAACUUUCAUUUCAUGGACAUAAGGAUCGAGGUUAAAGUUUGGGCUCUAUAUGUUAUGAUGCGAUAUUCAUCGUGGGAAAAUAAACCAUUUUUCUGAAAAAAAUCAUGAUAGAAAAUUUAAAGUUAUAUUACACUUAAAAAAAGAGAGAGGCUAUAUUACACUUUAGGAAACAUCUAAUGCCUUGGCAAGUGCAUGAGUAGUAUGUAUCUUCAGAAAACGAUGAAACUAAGCUUAAGAC